UACGUAGGGCGCAAGCGUUGUCCGGAAUUAUUGGGCGUAAAGAGCUCGUAGGCGGCCUGUCGCGUCCGUCGUGAAAGCCCGGGGCUUAACUCCGGGUCUGCGGUGGAUACGGGCAGGCUAGAGGCAGGUAGGGGAGAAUGGAAUUCCCGGUGUAGCGGUGAAAUGCGCAGAUAUCGGGAGGAACACCGGUGGCGAAGGCGGUUCUCUGGGCCUGUACUGACGCUGAGGAGCGAAAGCGUGGGGAGCGAACAGG
rnacentral:rRNA from 1 species